rnacentral:rRNA from 1 species
AGUCGCCGCGGGAAUACGGAGGGGGCUAGCGUUGUUCGGAAUUACUGGGCGUAAAGCGCACGUAGGCGGCUUUGUGAGUUAGAGGUGAAAGCCCGGAGCUCAACUCCGGAAUUGCCUUUAAGACUGCAGAGCUAGCAGGUGAGAGAGGUGAGUGGAAUUCCGAGUGUAGAGGUGAAAUUCGUAGAUAUUCGGAGGAACACCAGUGGCGAAGGCGGCUCACUGGUCCAUUACUGACGCUGAGGUGCGAAAGCGUGGGGAGCAAACAGGAUUAGAUACCCCCGUAGUCCCUGUCUCUUAUACA